CUAAAAUACAAGCCACAAUUAAGAAGAAUCUCAUUCCAGCAUUUGAGAUUCUAUUUGAUGAAAGAGGCGUUAGAGAAAUCCGUAACUUCGCCAUCGCUUCCAAUGAAGGAGAUUACAUGCUUGUGAAUCAUACGCAUAAGAUCAACUUCUACAAGACAACUACUGUUCGCGUCUCUGAUGAAUUUGUGGAUAUUGUGGAUCCGUAUACGUUUGUGUCAAUCCCCGAUUUGCUAAGCAACAACAUUGAUGCUCGCGUUGCAUUCGAUUUUCUUGGUCAAGUGGUCUCAGCAGAACCCAUGCGAGUCAUUAUUGAGAAAUCAAUUGAAAAAAAAUUAAUGAAUCUGGUUGCCAAGGAUCAAAGAUCAUCCUCAGGUUAGUAAUUGUCUAUUUGGAUCAAGGUUGUUCAUAAAUGAUGACACACCUCAGAUUUUGGCCUUCAAAGAAAGUUGAGGAUCCCACAUAAGUGACACAACUUAAGUCUGGUACUGUUGUUUCCACUCCAAAAGAAUACUACCUUCAACAUGUGAUCAGAAACAUUGAUGAUAUUCCCAACUAUGUUAAGAAGGAGGAGGAAGUUGGUUUAACCAUUAUUGCUACUAUAAUCUCUUUUGCCGUGGAGGAAGGAUGGUAUUCUUUUUAUUGUCAUGAACACUCAAUAAAGGUGACUAAAAAUGAUGAUGAUAGUGACUCUCAACCUUUUAACUGUGAAAAAUGUGGUGGAGUUUCGGAUGUGUAUGUGAAGGCCAGGGUAGUAGUUCGUCUUCAAGAUGAAACUGGAUCUUCCUCAUUCAUAUUGUUUGAUCGUUAUAUAAAAGAUAUGUUGUGUUGAGGAAAAAAAUGGUUGGUGGAUAAAAUAUCGAAGGUUCCUAGCAACUAUGACAGUAGAAAAUUGAUCAAAAUAUUACAACAACAAGUAAUAUGUUGUAGCAGUUUCCACCAGAGCCGGCCUUGGCUAUGGGCAGUCUGGGCGACAGCCCUGAGCAACAAGAAACUUAGGGGCAUACAAUUUUGAGGAAAUGAAGUAUAAAAUAAAGUGAAACUUAAAGUUACAUUUUAAUGGAGUUUUGAAGCAGAGGAACAAGUCAACAAGAGAGGAAGAAGACGAACAGUAACACAUUUUUUUUCAUUUUAUUUCUAUAAAACCCCUACAAUAAUUUAAAAGUAUAAUAUGAGUCCCUAAACUAUAAAGACAUUAACUAUGCAGCUUUCUAACUUUCUCAGUUGGCUAUUAAAUAAAGGUUUUGAUCGUUUAUCUUACAUUUGUAACCAUUGGUCCAUAUAUUAACAUGGUAGUUUAUCUUA